rnacentral:misc_RNA from 1 species
AAGAGUUAUAGGGUGCAAACCCGAACCUCCAACCCUUUGUUGUAAUUGACUAGUUGCCUUGCCCUGGUGCUCGCGCCGGGGCAAUGGACCUAUAAACUCGAAUAUCAGUGUAGUCUGAGCUUAAAUUCAAUGAAUUA